GACGAACGCUGGCGGCGUGCUUAACACAUGCAAGUCGAACGGAAAGGCCCUUCUUUUGUGGGGUGCUCGAGUGGCGAACGGGUGAGUAACACGUGAGUAACCUGCCCUUGACUUUUGUAUUACUUCAGGAAACUGGGGCUAAUCCCGGAUAGGAGCUCCUGCUUCUUUGUGGGGGUUGGACUGUUUCGGCGGUUGGGGAUGGACUCGCGGCUUAUCAGCUUGUUGGUGGGGUAGUGGCUUACCAAGGCUUUGACGGGUAGCCGGCCUGAGAGGGUGACAGGCAAGAUUGGGACUGAGAUACGGCGCAGACGCGUACGGGAGGGAGCAGUGGGGAAUAGUGCACAAUGGGCGGAAGCCUGAUGCAGCAACGCCGCGUGCGGGAUGAAGGCCUUCGGGUUGUAAACCGCUUUCGCCUGUGACGAAGCGUGAGUGACGGUAAUGGGUAAAGAAGCACCGGCUAACUACGUG
rnacentral:rRNA from 1 species